GAGUGUGUGCAUCCGUAUGCGUCGCCUGCCUCAGCCUGCCCGGGUCCUGAACAUGUAGCUGAGAGGUGCAGGACAGUCAGAGGGCCAAAACUUCCCCUGCCAGGCUGAGGCUGGGCCCUCCCGAGCUCACCUGUCCGCGUUCAGGUUGGACACCUAAUUUGCACAUCAGGACUGCCAUGGACCAUGGUGCAAUGAAGGUGAAGACUGGAGCACUCAUCACCCACGGGUCUCACUUUGUUGCCCAGGCUGGAGUAUAGUGCCCUGAUCACAGCUUGCUGCAACCUCAAGCUCCCAUGCUCAAGCAAGCUUCCUGCCUCAACUUCCCAAGUAGCUGAGACCACAGGCAUGCUCCAUGACACCUGAACUCCUGAACUCAAGCGAUCCUCCUGCCUCAGCCUUCCAAAGUGCUGGGAUUACAGGCAUGAGCCCCUGAACCCUGCCUACCCUCUGUUUCUAUGUGGUGUUUGUCUUUCUAAGCCUGGCCUAUUUCGUGUAACAUAAUUUCCUCCAGAUUUAUCCAUAUUGUCUCAAAUGACCAGAUUUCUUUCUUUUUUAAGGCUGAAUAGUAUUCCAUUGUACAUAUAUACUACAUUUUAUUUAUCCAUUCAUCUGUUGAUGGACACUUAGGUUGAUUCCAUAUCUUGGCUAUUGUGAAUAAGCUGCAAUGAACAUAGGAGUGCAGAUACUGCUUUGACAUAUUCAUUUCAUUUUCUUUGGAUAUGUAUCCAGAAGUGGAAUUGGGCUGGAAUAUAGGCAGUUCUAUUUUUAAUAUUUUGAGGAAACUCCAUAUUACUUUCCAUAAUAGCUGUGCUAAUUUACAUUCCCACCGCCAAUGUAUAAGGGCUUCCUUUUCUCCACAUCCUCUCCAACACUGGUUAUCUCUUGUCUUUUUGAUAUGUUUUCUCUUCUCUGUAAAGCUAUUGGUUGUAGCAUUUUACUUUUUCCAAAUUUUUUUAAUCAAACUUUUGAAAUGUAUAGCUGAAAUGAAAGAAUUUUAGCAUGAAUGCUAAUAUACACUCAGCACCUAUAUUCUUGCUUUUUCAUGUAUUUACUCCUGAAUUAAUAUAUUACUUGUUAUAUGCUUUUGAAAGUAAACUGCAAACAAGUGCAUGCUUCUCCUAGAUCUUUCCACAUGCUCUGCCAUUAAUUAGAGUUCAAUGUUCAAUUUUUUCCUUUUGAUGUACAAUUAAUACACAAUUAAUUUACACACACAUUUUACUUAGUUCUGAAAAAUGUAUAUACUUUUAUAACUCAAAGCCCAUCAUUAUACAACAUUACUAUCACCCUAGCAAAAUCUUUUGUGUCCCUUCUCAAUCACCAAUCCUGACCACACCCCAAGAAAACUACUGUUCAAAUUUUUCUCCAUCAUUGAUUGGCUUUGUCUGUUUUAGAACUUCAUAAAACUAAAAUACUGUAGUA
ensembl:lncRNA C8orf34-AS1 C8orf34 antisense RNA 1